GGACUUUUAAGAAGAGAGAAUGCCGGAAUGAGUAGCGAGAGUAAGGUGAGAAUCCUUACGGCCGAAUAUCCAAGGUUUCCAGGGUAAAGCUGAUCUGCCCUGGGGAAGUCGGGACCUAAGGCGAGGCCGAGAGGCGUAGCCGAUGGACAACAGGUUGAGAUUCCUGUACUACAGUAUGACAGAACUGUGGGGACGCAGAAGGAGAGCACUACCUGGAAUGGAAUCCAGGGGCAAGCACAGGAGGGGUACGGCUGAAAAAACCGCCGUGCAACCCAAAGGUGUGACGCAUACCGAACUAAAGUAGGGAAAUGUGUGAGCCGGCUGCCGAGAAAAGCCGCUAUUGUUUGUACUGUACCCGUACCGUAAACCGACACAGGUGGAUGAGGAGAGAAUCCUAAGGCCGACGGAAGAAGCAUUGCUAAGGAACUCGGCAAAAUGACCCUGUAACUUCGGGAGGAAGGGUGCCUCGAAAGAGGCCGCAGAGAAUAGGCCCAAGCAACUGUUUAGCAAAAACACAGGUCUAUGCAAAACCGCAAGGUGAAGUAUAUGGGCUGACGCCUGCCCGGUGCUGGAAGGUUAAGGGGAGAUGUCAGGAGACGAAGCAUCGAACUUAAGCCCCAGUAAACGGCGGCCGUAACGAUAACGGUCCUAAGGUAGCGAAAUUCCUUGUCGGGUAAGUUCCGACCCGCACGAAAGGCGUAAUGAUUUGGGCGCUGUCUCGGCAAUGCAUCCGGUGAAAUUGAAGUGCCAGUGAAGAUGCUGGCUACCCGCGCCAGGACGGAAAGACCCCAUGGAGCUUUACUCCAGCUUGAUACUGGGAUUCGGUAUUGUAUGUACAGGAUAGGUGGGAGGCUGAGAAAUGGUGACGCCAGUCGCCAUGGAGCCGCUGUUGGGAUACCACCCUUGCAGUACUGGAUUUCUAACCAGCAGCCGUGAUCCGGCUGGGGGACAAUGUCAGGUGGGGAGUUUGACUGGGGCGGUCGCCUCCGAAAGGGUAUCGGAGGCGCUCAAAGGUUCCCUCAGAAUGGUCGGAAACCAUUCGAAGAGUGCAAAGGCAGAAGGGAGCUUGACUGCGACACCGACGGGUGGGGCAGGUACGAAAGUAGGACUUAGUGAUCCGGUGGUAUUAAGUGGGAAUGCCAUCGCUCAACGGAUAAAAGCUACCCUGGGAUAACAGGCUUAUCACUCCCAAGAGUUCACAUCGACGGAGUGGUUUGGCACCUUGAUGUCGGCUCAUCGCAUCCUGGGGCUGUAGUAGGUCCCAAGGGUUGGGCUGUUCGCCCAUUAAAGCGGUACGCGAGCUGGGUUCAGAACGUCGUGAGACAGUUCGGUCCCUAUCCGGCGUGGGCGUAGGAUAUUUGAGAGGAGCUGACCUUAGUACGAGAGGACCGGGUUGGACUGACCUCUGGUGCACCGGUUGUCAUGCCAAUGGCACAGCCGGGUAGCCAAGUCGGGAAGGGAUAAACGCUGAAGGCAUCUAAGCGUGAAGCCCCCCUCAAGAUGAGAUAUCCCCCGCAUAAGCGGUAAGACCCCUUGAAGACGACGAGGUAGAUAGGGCAGAGGUGGAAGUGCAGUAAUGUAUGGAACUGACUGCUACUAAUAGGUCGAAGGCCA
rnacentral:rRNA from 1 species